rnacentral:sRNA from 12 species
GGCUCCAACAUCCCCGCAGGCUGGGCGCUGAAUCGGACCUGAUUCUCCCGACGACGCGCAGUGAGUCUGCUGUAGCC